rnacentral:tRNA from 1 species
GGCAGCGUAGCUCAGUUGGUUAGAGCGUAGGACUCAUAAGCCUAAGGUCACAGGAUCGUUCCCUGUCGCUGCUACCA